AGACAUGGCGGGGGCGGGGCCCGGCGGCGCUCGCGCACACAAUGGAACGCGGGGCGCCGGCGGGGUGGAGGGGCUGGGACCGUUCCAGCCGCCGUCACGAGACCGCGUUGAUCCAAUCAGCCCCCGCCCCAAGCCGGGCUCUUCCGCAAACUCCGCUGGCCCCGCCCCUUAAAGGCGAAGGGUUUUUCCCUUAAAAAAAAAAAAAAAAAAAAAAAAAAAAAGCUCCUUCUUCUUGCCCCGCCCCACACGGCCUUACUGUCGGCCCAAAAGUGCGCGGCGGAGGCCCGAGGGAGCCUGCCUGGGUCCUGCGGCCGUCCAGUCCUGCCGCACUAGCCGGUGCCUGCUACCCGGCCUGCUGGGCUGAGGUGCCGGCGGCAGGAGCGCGGUUGUUUCGCCGCCGCCCUCCUCCUUUCCCUGCCGGCUCCCGGCCGGUUCCCCGCGGCGCCGGCGGGCGGGGCGCUCCUGCCGCCGGUCCCCGGCCGUGCUGCGCCACAGACAUGGCAGUCCGGGCUGCCAGCCCCCGGCCUCUGAGCAGAGGGCUUGCGGAGCGGGACCCGCACCCCGAGGCCCCCGAGCCGGGCGGGUGGAUGUGCGAGGUCACAGAAUCACAAAAUAAAUUAGAUUAGAAAAGACCUCUGAGAUCAUUAAGUCCGACCUAUGACCGAACACCACCAUGUUAGCCAGACCAUGGCACUGAGUGCUACGUUCAGUCUUUUCUUAAACAUCCCCAGGGACGGAGACUCCACCACCUCCCCGGGCAGCUCCCAAUGCCUAAUUGCCCUUUCUGUGAGUAAAUUCUUCCUAAUCUGGGGGCGCUCUGUACUGCCCAGCCCGGAGGUGUCCAGAGCUGCCUCAGGCUCCCGUCGGCGUUACAAAACGUAAACAAAAACCCCAACCCCCCACGCUUUUAUGCCAGAGACUAAAUAAGCCCACAAGCCCCGCGCUCUGUGCCAGACCCCCGCCUGUGCCGGGGAUGGCGCAGGGCACGGUACGAGGGUUUGCAGUGCCCUGACAGCACACCCGCCCCUCAGAGGGGCUGUCGCAGGCGCAGGUGACACUGGCGCGGUCCUUCUCCAGCCCUCUCGGCCCCUGAGCCGUCCCAGAGGUUACGGACCCGCCACGAGUUUUCCUCGAAUCUCUGAGGGCUCAUCUGUGAGGAAAUGCCCCAUCCCGGCAUUUCCCUUCCGUGCAUUUGGACUCCGUCGGGCCGCACACCAUUACAGGAUAGGAGUGGAAGGGAAAUGCAGGCACGUGCAUGUUUUUAACGGAAAAUCGGGGGGUGUUGAUCCAAAACCGGACAUUUGCGAGGAGGACUUCCCUUGCCACUCACCCUCAGGGCUGAGCUCUCUGCAGUACAUGUAAGAGCCGAAGCAGGUAUUUGGGAAGAGGCUAGACUAAACACAGAAUCAAUACUGCAGCCUUCAAGAGGAGCCUACAGGCAGGAGGAGAUUCACAGCCUUCACAAAAGGGGAAACACAAACCUCUCCAAAAAUGCUUAAAGAUUGGAUUUGCCUUCCUGAAAAGUCUUGAAGCCAUAGGCAGUGCACUAAGAGACGUGGAGGGAGCCUUGCAAGGACAAAUAAGCCUCAGGUCUCAGUCUCAAACAGAAAUUUGGGCCGCCAAAGACACCGAGAUCACCUCCCAUCCCCACUGCUUGUGAUGUUUGUGUUGCUUUCCCGGGCCUGCCAACAAGAAAGCUGAGGUGGAGGAUGAGCCCGAUGUCCUGGAAAAGCUGCAGAGUAAGACUGAGAGAGAGCGGGUGUGGCAGAGCUUUUCAGCUCCUCUUGCUGUACACAGCCUUUUCACAAAGGCAGAGCUGGGGCUCGUCUGUAUUUCUCUUCCUGCUGCCCUUCUGAACACCAUUCUGCACGCAAAUGUGCCCAUGGACUAAAUACCUUGAAGCUCAUAUUUUCCGGGAGAUGUACAUUACCUUGUCUUCUUCAAGCCUCUGUAUGGCUUAUGCUGCAGCUGAUCCCAAAGCACAAGUGAGGGGAAAAACAAUGGUGGAAAUUCAAGGAAAGAAGGAAGCCAGAGCAGCUCUGUCAGCUUUUAUGUCUCCUCCUAAAGUCAGCAUGAACAUACACGGACUGGAGGAAGCACAUGUAGCCAUGUCUCUCGCUUACAGCAGUUUGGGAUGGGGGUAAGAGGACCUAUCACCCCAAACCCAAACCAUUUUCCUGGAUGAGCUGUUGGAGAUCUUUGGUGCCAUUUCCUAUAGCCACCUCCUGGCUCAGUAGAGCUGGUGGCACAGGGUCUCCUCCAGCAGUGCCUGCAAACGUAUGGGAAGCAGGUGGAGGCACGGCUCGGGAAAUGGGGAGGUGCACAGCAGGGUGGAUGGACCAAGUGUCCAGAACAGAGAGAGAAAAUUGAAAUCCCACUGAGGGAACCAUUCCUUCUCUUGGAAGGCACUUUGAAGGGCUGUUUUAAAAGAUUUCUCCAGUGGACUGAGGAAGAAGAAGACAUGCUCGAGGUACAAGCAUAUAUUGCUUUCAGGUAUGUUCAUGGGGCAUUUAGGGACAGCUUGAUCUACUUAAGAUGCAAAAGAUAGUCCAAGGUAGACUGAAAAUUUAGAACAAAACUGAAGGACAUUGUGCUGUUACAACCAGAUAAACAGUCUGUUCCUCUUUCAAAGUUAAGCAGAUUUUACUAUAGUUAGUUCUAGGCUAUAUCCUCCUGUUUUGUACUUCAGAUGAAGUGCUGUCUCCAGAGAAUGAAACCUCUCCAUAUCCACAUGGCUCAGGGAAGCUGCUCAGGUCCAGCUGGGGAAUGAAACCUGUCCCUGGAAAGAAGUUAUCCAUAGUCAGUGAAAAUACUUGUCAAAAUCAUACAGAGAGCCUUUUAAUUAAAAAAAAAAGUAAAACAAAGCAAACCAGAAUCCAACCUGAUUAUGUUAGUCUUAUGAUGAGGAAUUCAGCCUACUCUUACUCUACCUGCAGCUCUCCUUUUUCAAUGGCUGGGAAUGGAAAUACAUAUUCAAUGCUUGCCCUGGUUCCAGAACUGUAUUCAGUCCAAAAUGUAAAAUCACUUUGGUUAAAUGCUCUGUCCUUCUUCAGUCUCCAGCCUUUAAACUUUCACUCAUCAGUGUAGUGCCAGUGUUCAGACCCUGGCUUUCAUCUGGAGGCAGGGGUGUCAGUGUUUCAUCCUCAGGGUGUCAGAUGUUUGCAGUCAGAUGUUGGAUAAAACUCUGCUUUUCAGGGAGACUCUCACAAGCUGUUGGAGUUUUCUGAGCCUAUUUUGUCCAAGUAAAAAUAUUUUAGAUCCAUAAUAAGGAGUUUAUUCCAGGUCUUUUUCUAGUUUGUAUGCAAUAUUUUAGUUAUGGCUCUACUCUUGCCAGCACCAUGGGCUGCUAUUUUGUUGUUCCUGUGAAUGAAGUAAAUAGCUCUGCAUUCCAGCUCAUGAUAAUAACACAGCUAUAUUCCUAGUUGGCCUUGGCCAAGACAAGCUAUUAAAAUGAGUUUUGUUUUGUCAUGUUUCAUGUUCUGAAUCAACUUCAGGAGGUGUGGAUCUGAUGGAAAGGCACUGAACAGGCAGGAAAAACACCAAGACGAACCUCUCACAGCCAGGAUCUACUGGGACAAAAGCAAUAAUGUUCCUUGUCUCCUAAUGCUGUGCAAAGCCAGGACCAUUACUGGGUAUGGCAGGAUGCAAAGACCUGGCGAGCUACCCCUUCUGUGUCCAAUGGAGAGAGGCUGGAAAGCUGCUAAAAAAGGGAAAGAACAGGCCAAUGUGCUGUUGUUGUGAAGCAGUCGAGUAGCAGAGAGACAAAACAGAACUUCCAGCACCUUGUAGCUUGACUUCUGGGACUGAAUGCAACAUCAGCCCAGGACAAUUGGACUUUUCAUCUUGAAAUCUGUGCAGGAUACGUACUUUUGGAACUCCCAUUCCCUGUUGUCCAGCGGACAUACUUGGCGAGUUUUGAGCCAGCGAGAGAUGCAGUGGAAGUGGAAAGCGUGCUGGAAGACAAAGUUCAGAUCACAUAAUUUCAGAAUUAUGAAUGCAUCUCAAUGUGAAAACUACCAUUGAAAGCAUCACAGUAAGAAGAGAGUAGCAAGAGUUUACAGGCAAAGGUGGGGACAACUGAUGAGUCAAUUAGCUGGUAACCACCAAGAAAUUGAUCCACAUUUUCAAAGAGGAGGAAACAUUAGUGAAAUGGCAGCAGGGAGCCUGUUCCACAGUGCAUGCGGUGGCAACUGACUGACUUCUGAUGAAGGAGAGAGUGCAGAGUUUAGCAGCUGCUAAAAUUGGCACAGCAGAUGCUGAUAAGAAGCAUAAUCAAAAAGAAAAGAGAGGAUUUCAGAGUGAGUAGCAGGGAUGAUAUGAAUGUACACAUGCUGAAGGAAGCUUUCUGUCAGUUUGCAGGAGAUACCAGCGCCUGAAUAAAAAGGAAUUUGCAAAAUUAGAAAGAAAAAAAAAAAUCUCUUUUAUGUGUUUAAUAAGGACACCCUUUUCCUUACCCCAUACAGCUACUUAAAACCAAGGUUCCCCUUGGUUCCACACACAACAUAAUUUUGACACUUGAAUAUCCUGACAUGGUUAAAAAUUUUGCUCUUGUCCUCUGCAAACAGAAUUGCAACAUUUAGUCCUGUUCCAGCAUUAACACUUUGUAACUCAAUCCCACAGCACAGUGAAGAUGGGAUUGAGGAUCAGAAUGUUAUUCCACUAUGGAAUCGUUUAUCUUCCAACUCAGGCCCAGGCUAGCUAACAGGUAUUCAAGCUUGGAGUUCAUGUGCUAGUGGGACCAACUGAUUUGAUCUUCCCCCAAAACUGAAAGCAAAUCACCUGGGUACCCCAGCUUGACUCUUUGAAUUAGCCUGCACAAAGACAAAUCAAGCAGACUGACAUCUAAGUGAUCCUAUUACCACAGGGAAAGAAAAAGGUAUAACUCCUAGGCAAACCAUGAUCAGGAAAAACAUGCUCAGAAGGAAAGAUCUAUUAUUCCUUAAAAAAAUAAUUAAGGCUCAUCUUCUUCCCUUUGCUUCUGUGCCUAAUUACAUCUCUCCAUCUUUCACUUCCUUUUAUUUUCUUCUCUCUCUCCUUUCUACACUCUAAUAAACAUAAGGAAUUUAAAGUUCUUAUUUCUGGUGGGUUAUGUAAAAAAUACUACAGAACUCAUUCUGUCCCAAGUCUUCAAAAAAGGAGGAUCCCCCCACACGAGCUCCACAAUAAAACAGUUUUCCUUACAUUGCAGACGCCCCAUGCAACUGUGCACUCCUCAGAGGUAGCCGAUGCUUGGUUUGCUUGACAUUCUAUGCCUAGGAAAAUAAAGAUUGAACAAAUAUACACAGGAGUUGAAGAUGUACAUGCAACACUAACUGGUAGAUUUCUUCGUAACAGCAAGUGGAGGCAUGGGAGGAAGAGCUCUUUUGUGGUAUUUAACACACCAGAAAGUAUCAAGAGCUAUGGUUUAAUGUGUACUGUUUUUCCAAAAGCAUCAAAUCAAAAUAUACUUAAUCCUGAUUUCCUCCUUUCUCUACCUUUUUGGUAUUCCAAAGUUCCAGAGGGCAGGAGUACAUAGCUCAUCUGCUGGCAACAUGUGUCUGCUUCCCAAAUUUCAAGGCUAAAUAUUUUCAUUUUUUCCUCUUGUGUUCAAAGAGACAAUCAGUUGACAGUACAUUUACUUAAACUUGUUAACCAGGUUUUUCUCAAUAUAAAUUCCUAUAUGUUCUUGUCACACAUUGUAUACUUUAUUUGCAAAUUAAUUUGCUCAUGUAAUGCUGGAGUUUGCCUGUCUUUAUUUUAUAGUCUUGUGAUAGGUAAGUACAUCCCAAAAGUCCACAACAGGAAAUACAGUAUGGUUUGGACUUUUUACACCGUGGAGCUGAGUACUCAGGAGGAUUCCCCACGCCCCCACUCCAGCUAUUUAUGAGUUUGGGUUAUGUUUUGGGCUUUUGUGUCAGAUAGCGUGGAUGAAGGAGAUGAAAAAGAGUGAAGAAAGAAGGAAGAACAACACUGAGAAAAUAAAUCCUGCAAGCUGGUUCUCCAUUCUAAAGCCUGAACAAUUCACUUCUGCUCCAGCUCAAGAAGGAACUUCAGAAGAAAAAAAGACAUUUCCAACUCCUCCACUGUCAGCAGCACAAACCUAUGAGACUAACAUUUUACUCCUUGCUAAAGGAUGCUUUCUGUAAGAGUCAAGCCCAAAUAAUUUAAAAAGACCUGCUGAUAUGUGAUCAGCUUUGAACUCAACACAUGAGCUUGCUGCUUUCUUGUUUUGCAGAUUUUUUUUUUCCUAGCAAAGAUGUCUGAAUGAACUCCAAUUCUCUGUUCACUUUUUGUGUGCUUGAGUAUGCUUAGAGAAAAGGAGUUUGAUUCAUCACUUAAAGAUUCAAAAACUUUCAAAUCGCACAGGUUUGGCUGAAAAAUGUAAUCUCUAUUUGUCCUGUCCUAUUCAUCCCUUUCUCCAUUUUUCAGGUGUGGAGGUCCACAAAAUAAAAGAAAGGCCCAUUUUUCUGAGAUGCAAGAGACAUCAGUUAACCUUGGUCACGAGGAACUACUCAAAACAAGACUGAUGUCUAAAGAAACUCAGUAGCAACAGCUGUUCUGCAAGAUCUGAGUGAACCCGUAUUUAUCAUAUGGUUUACAUCAAAGAUAUGAUAUACCACAGCAGAAAGUCCAAAGCUCAAUCCCUUGCCUGCCCAUAGAAGAAAACAGAAUCCAGUACUUCUGAAAGGUCUGAUGUCUUAAUUCCUGAAUCUCUCAAUACAUACAGAAAUAAAACAAAAUCCGAUGAAGAAUAUGGAAGAUGCUCAAGACCCUUGAAAAACUUAAAUUACUUUGGAUACUUGUAUAAAAUUCUACACCUGAGAUUGUUGCAACAAUUUUACUGUUACUACGGUAUAGACUCAUGGGGCAUAAGAUAUUAGCUUUUAUAUAUCUGGCCAGAGUCUGUACAGCAACAGAUAAUGGUGAGAAGAUGAGUAGAAGGAAAAGAUGAGGAAAUUCUUCAGAAGGGAGAAAAGUCAAAGAGUAAGCAAAGUUUAACUCAGACAGCCUCUAUGACAGCAAGGAAAAUACUCCAGCAUAUAAUAUACUUAUCUUGUUUCUUCUCUUUUCCUUCUGGAAGCAAAAUACUGGGCAUAUUAGAUGUGAAGUCCAUCUAGCCCAUUUUAUGUCAUUUUGUCUUUUUUUUUUUUUCCUCCUCUCUAAGAGGCCCUAACCUGAGAGCUGCAUGAACACAAUUCUUAAUUUUUCAGGAUUUAAAGGACUCUGUAUUUUGCCUGGGAGUGAGAGGGAAGAAAGAUGGUUUAGGCAAGGAAAAGAAGCAGCACUGACAUUCAUUUCAGUGUUACUCAAACUUUCACUGACAGUCUAAGGCAUGACAGUCCCAAAAGUUUAAGAGGACAGACGAACUUUUGUGGUAGUGGUUGAGGAGGAGUUCUCUGGUGGUGAUGUAAAGCCCUUCCAACAAGACACCCAGAUUUAGCUCCCUCAUCAAAUGCACUGGAGAUUACUGCUAGCACUGCUACCUUUGGCUGCAAAAAAAGAGCCUCCCAAAAGCUGAAACACUUUUUGGUCUCGUAUUUGCUUCAUUUUAGAAAAGGACAAUAUAUCAACAAAUGAAAAAUAAAUAAUAAAUAAAACACACGGACAAGCUCCAUCCUAGAAUGAAAGCUGAUGAUUCUGGCUCUUGAAAGAAAGAGAACCUAUUUACCAUCUGCUGACCCAAAAGAAGCAGUAAGAGUCAGUAACAGGUACUGGAGGAAUACUGAAUGACUCUUCUGUUGCCUUGCUUUUGACAGAGUAUCUGCAGGUGAGGGCAGAAAGAUACAGCUAAAACCCGAAAUACCUGUAAAUAAUUGUGAAAGAUGCAAUGAAAGCAUUUCAACUCAAGGAUGCAGAAAUUCAUCUUAUAUAAUGGCAGCUUCUGAAUCUUGGCAUCAUAAGAACCAGCCUACUUCCUAUACAUUUUCUAUUGCAGAAAUCUCCUGUAUAUUUACACAUCAAGAAAUAAAUCCAAACCCAUUCCAUCUAAUAAACAUCCUGAGAUUCUUCUUUGGAUUCUGUGCAACAUAUCUGUCUUUGUGAAGCUGGAUUCAUGUACUUGGCACGUUAUCGUCAAAGCAAAGGAACAGUAUUUUGAUGGCACAUUUUACACAGUUCAAACCUAUAUUGGUCAUCUUACUACAAUAAUACAUUACACAUUUUAAACCAGAAGAUAAUCCAGUAUACUAAACACACUGCUAACACUCCCCAAUUUAGCAUGUUGCAGUGACAGCACCAGAGAGCAAGCCUUUGAAGAAAGACUAAAGUAAAAUCUAAACAGAACCUGGGUCUUUCCAGAGAAGAACGAAACCUAAACACUGAAAGUCUACUUAUUCCUUCUGUACACUGAAAACAAACCAAACUGAGGGCAGGGGGAUCCUCUGAACCACAUCAUUGCUGAGUCAUAAGGCACAUGCAUGGGGAGAACUGCAUGACACCUUACCAUUGAUGCCUGACUUUACAACAUUAACAAACUUUCAUUACCAUGACUGUAUUACUUAUCACUCUUCUAAUGUUUUCCCAUCCAAGGUUUCUCUUUGUUGCUAGGAGUGGGAGACAUUUGUAUCCUGCAUUUUAUCAAAUUGAAUCUUGUGUUGUUCUUCCCUGCACAUUCUAUUAAUUUUUUCUCAAUUUGUCAUCACUUCACAUCUUAUGUUUGAAAAUCUAAUUAAAGGGUUGUUUAACAACAUUAAUGAUCUGUAACAAGGAAGUAAGCAAAUCCAGAGCCAACACUGAUCUCGGAAUACCAAUUUAGAUAUCCCUUCUACUCUGUAUGCUGUCAAUUUUAGUCUGUCAUUUGCAGUCCAGGCUCCUUGUAACAUUGCUCAUACAAAUUAAUAACAUGUUAUGCUUGAGCAACUCAAAAAUGAAAAAAAACUUACCUAUGCCAUUUUCCUUUACUGUUUUUCCUAAACUACCUAUAUACUCUCAAUCCCCACCCACAUAUGGCUAGGGCUUCUUAAAAUUUUUUUUUUAAGAAUUGACAAACAGAAUUUACUACUGAAAAAUAGCAUCUGUCCAUUCUCCUUCCAGCUCCUCCACACCUCUCCUUCAUCUCUAUUUGCUAUUUAUAAAAAAAAUUUGCAAAUAUAUGAGACUGUAUUUGGUCUGUCAUGGAAGGUACAAUUAAUUUUGAGGCAGAUUGAUAGAAUAAAACACACCAGCGUCUCCUAUCUUAAAAUACAUCCCUCUUAUCAUGAAUAAUUAUCUUGAAUUACAGGAUUUUAUCUAUUUAUUCUAUACAUUUGGAAAUUCUAUAAAUGUAACUUACGUUCUAAUAAAUCUUUGAAAUUCCA